UAGCAUGACCUGUAGACUUUCACAAAGUCCUUCAUCUUUGUUUAGAACGAAGGAAUUUUCAAGGAAGUAAUUUCUUGAAGAGUAGGGAAUUUGUGGAAGUCAAUACAAUUGGAAUAUUUAGCUGAGCUUUGAUUUUGUGCAAAGUGUUUUCAUAUUCAGAUUGCACUUUUUCUACCACCUGAACAGGUGUCUUAGGGGUGCUUUUCGUGUUUAUGUGAUGGAAGGGGGGGGGAGGCAGCACUUUCCUUGCGAUAGUAAUUUCUAGUAUA